AUCGAUAUCGCAAAAUACCGGUAUACCGGUAUUUUCAACGUGUUUUUUUAAGCCAAACUGAACUGCUGAACGUCCAGAAAAAUCAAGUUUUGACAAAAUAUUGUGACACAUACUGUUAUUAGUGCAAGUGUCACAAGAUUCGCAUUAUCAUGCUAUAUUAACGGCGCUAAGUGGCAAUUAUUACUGCCCAAUAAAUAUUUCGAGAAAAAAACUUGAAAAGGUUUUUUCUGCUUCGCAAAUGCUAGUACUUCCACUUUCCAAAAUCGUAGGUUCCUUUUUUACCAAAAUUUUCCUUCAAGAAUUUCGCCAUUUAUAUAUUUCCGAUUAAUUUAAGGCGAUUUAAUAAACAAGACGUCUUUGUACUGCUAAACCAAAGCUGCUAGAACUGUAAGAACAAAAUCGUCCAUCUGUGAGUGAUAACUUUGGAUUUUAAACGUGAUUGUAGGCAAGUUUAACUUGAAACAGCGUUUCAAAUCGGUAUUACGCAGAAAAUACCGAAAUGUCGGUAUAUCGGUAUUUUUGAAUAGUCAAUAUCGCCAAUACCGAUAUCUAAACAAAUACCGGUAUACCGAAUAUAUCCGGUAUAUCAAUCCACUCUAUAAAUAAUGGAUAAAAGUAUUCAAAGGAAUGGAUGACUCCAGCUAGCUAUAGACGAAAUUUUGAUCUAGACAAGAACGAAAUCCAUUACCAUAGGAAGUAAAAUAGCAAAGUUUGGUUGCGAGAUGUUGUAAAAUGAGGAAAAUGUGGCCCUGUGAAGUUCGCAAAUUUCGUAUAUGUUUGCAUGCAUUACGCGCGGGAAAAUAACCAUUUUUGAGACGAAAGUGGUUAGUUUCACCGCGCGUAAUACAAAUGUAUACAAACUUUGCGAACUUCACAACAGGGCUAUAUUUUCUUCAUUUUACAACAUUUCACAACUACCAAACUUUGCAGUUUUACUCAUUCUAAGAUACUCUUUCUAGGUGUGGUGUUGGAUUUCGUUCUUCUUGCCUUGAUCAAAAUUUAGUCUAUAUAGCUGGAAUCACCCAUUUAAAGUAUUUUACUUUUAAUAUAUAUCGUGAAGCGAAAAUUGUCUUUUAUAUUUAAACGUAUUUCUAUAUGGGAAUGGCAGCAAGGCCUGGUCGCAAGCCGUUAGGAAGAAAGUGAGCGGCUCUCUCUCUAUACAGGGGAUCCGAAAAAACCCACUGAAACUAUUGAUGGAGAUAUCCGUUCUGCAUUUAGAACGCGUUGUGCAAAACUUUCCCAUGAUUGUAAUUAACCUUGUUUAAAAAUACCAUAUAAAAAAAGGUUCUUGAAUUUCAAAAAUCUGGUAUAGCAGGACAAUGCGAUUUCUAUAAUUGGCUUCGUGUUUUAAUUAAAUCAUUUUAAAAAUGGAAGUUACGCUAAAUGGAAAUGAACAGAAACAGAACUUGGGUUCAAAUGCCAGUACUCUGCUCAGCCGACAAGACUUCAUAUGUAAC